CCCAGACUCCUACGGGAGGCAGCAGUGGGGAAUAUUGCACAACGGGGGGAACCCUGAUGCAGCGACGCCGCGUGGGUGAAGGAGCACCUCGGUGCGUAAAGCCCUAUCGGCAGGGAAGAAACAGACGGUACCUGACUAAGAAGCCCCGGCUAACUACGUGCCAGCAGCCGCGGUAAUACGUAGGGGGCAAGCGUUAUCCGGAUUCACUGGGUGUAAAGGGAGCGUAGACGGCGACGCAAGUCUGGAGGGAAAGCCCGGGGCCCAACCCCGGGACUGCUCUGGAAACUGCGUCGCUGGAGUGCGGGAGGGGCAGGCGGAAUUCCUGGUGUAGCGGUGAAAUGCGUAGAUAUCAGGAGGAACACCGGCGGCGAAGGCGGCCUGCUGGACCGUGACUGACGUUGAGGCUCGAGAGCGUGGGGAGCAAACAGGAUUAGAUACCCCGGUAGG
rnacentral:rRNA from 1 species